GUUAGUCGGACUUAUCUUCGACUGUUUGUCUAAAACACUACCUACUGCUUUCUACGCUUCGAAACGCAAUCAAUUGUUCAAAAAUUAAAAAAUGUCAAAACUCAUUGUGUUGAUUGUUUUGAUUGCUGUUCUGGCAAAUAUAUUGAUUUCUUCAUCUGUCAUGGGCUGUCAAGGGAACGGUAAGGGUUGUAUAAGUACCGCUUCAUGCUGCAUCGGUUUGAGAUGCGAUCAUAGUGCUACUGACGGCAUCGGCGGGAAAUGCUUAUAAUGAAAUCACUUCUUACUAAAUGUUGAUGUUACUUAUGUAAUUAGUCACUAAAUAUUUUUCUCAUUAUUCACCUGUAACAGCAACUAUAAUUAAUGAAUUAAUCUGUCAAUAAAGUACAACAGCACCAAUGUA